rnacentral:rRNA from 1 species
GUCCACGCCCUAAACGAUGAUGACUAGUUGUUGGAGGAGUUAAAUCCUUUAGUAACGCAGCUAACGCGAGAAGUCAUCCGCCUGGGGAGUACGGUCGCAAGAUUAAAACUCAAAGGAAUUGACGGGGGCCCGCACAAGCGGUGGAUUAUGUGGUUUAAUUCGACGCAACGCGAAAAACCUUACCUACCCUUGACAUGUACGGAACCUCAUAGAGAUGUGAGGGUGCUCGAAAGAGAGCCGUAACACAGGUGCUGCAUGGCUGUCGU